rnacentral:rRNA from 1 species
UACGUAGGGUGCAAGCGUUAAUCGGAAUUACUGGGCGUAAAGCGUGCGCAGGCGGUUUUGUAAGUCUGUCGUGAAAUCCCCCGGGCUCAACCUGGGGAAUUGCGAUGGAGACUGCAAGGCUAGAAUCUGGCAGAGGGGGGUAGAAUUCCACGUGUAGCAGUGAAAUGCGUAGAGAUGUGGAGGAACACCGAUGGCGAAGGCAGCCCCCUGGGUCAAGAUUGACGCUCAUGCACGAAAGCGUGGGGAGCAAACGAGG